rnacentral:rRNA from 1 species
AGCGAACGCUGGCGGCAGGCCUAACACAUGCAAGUCGAACGGCUCUUCGGAGCAGUGGCGGACGGGUGAGUAACGCGUGGGAACGUGCCCUUUGGUUCGGAACAACACAGGGAAACUUGUGCUAAUACCGGAUGAGCCCUUCGGGGGAAAGAUUUAUCGCCAUUGGAGCGGCCCGCGUUGGAUUAGGUAGUUGGUGGGGUAAAGGCCCACCAAGCCGACGAUCCAUAGCUGGUCUGAGAGGAUGAUCAGCCACACUGGGACUGAGACACGGCCCAGACUCCUACGGGAGGCAGCAGUGGGGAAUCUUGCGCAAUGGGCGAAAGCCUGACGCAGCCAUGCCGCGUGAAUGAUGAAGGUCUUAGGAUUGUAAAAUUCUUUCACCGGGGAAGAUAAUGACGGUACCCGGAGAAGAAGCCCCGGCUAACUUCGUG